AGUGAACGCUGGCGGUAGGCCUAACACAUGCAAGUCGAACGGCAGCACAGUAAGAGCUUGCUCUUACGGGUGGCGAGUGGCGGACGGGUGAGGAAUACAUCGGAAUCUACUUUUUCGUGGGGGAUAACGUAGGGAAACUUACGCUAAUACCGCAUACGACCUACGGGUGAAAGCAGGGGAUCUUCGGACCUUGCGCGAUUGAAUGAGCCGAUGUCGGAUUAGCUAGUUGGCGGGGUAAAGGCCCACCAAGGCGACGAUCCGUAGCUGGUCUGAGAGGAUGAUCAGCCACACUGGAACUGAGACACGGUCCAGACUCCUACGGGAGGCAGCAGUGGGGAAUAUUGGACAAUGGGCGCAAGCCUGAUCCAGCCAUACCGCGUGGGUGAAGGAGGCCUUCGGGUUGUGAAGCCCUUUUGUUGGGAAAGAAAAGCAGCAGGUUAAUACCCCGCUGUUCUGACGGUACCCAAAGAAUAGGCACCGGCUAACUUCGUG
rnacentral:rRNA from 1 species